CUUCAGCGAGCCCAGCCACAGCGGGCGGCCCGGCUCCCGGUCCUGCCCGUAGGCGGCGAUCAGCGCCUCCGCCUC
rfam:Streptomyces sp. RSD-27 Contig802, whole genome shotgun sequence.